GCCAGCUUCUUAGAGGGACUAUGGCCAUUUAAGCCACGAAAGUUUGAGGCAAUAACAGGUCUAUGAUUCCCUUAGAUGUUCUGGGCCGCACGCGCGCUACACUGACAGAGCCAGCGAGUUCUCACCUUGGCCGGAAGGUCUG
rnacentral:rRNA from 1 species